UGUUUUUUUAAUGGCGCCUGAGAAUGUUAUUUUAGUCGAGACCGCCAGGUCGAGACCUAAAAGACAUUCGAAGGCGCCAUUAAAACAUGAAUUUCGCCACGAAAUACAAACAACGUUUUUUCUACAGCCUCCAGAUGAAGAAAAAAGUAACAGAAAUUAGUUGGAACAAAAUGGUCUGAUAAAUCGAGUUGCUUGCAUGGUUACGAUGAUAAAUAAAAGUGAUAGUUGCGAAAAAUUUGUCACAAUAGGUAUUUUUGUUGAAGAAGUGUGAUGGAUUUUAGCAGCGAAAACGAAAUAGAUGCAAUUGCAAGCGCGGCAGUGUCGAAUCUUUUGCCUGCUAAAUCAAGACCGCAGUACGAAAAAACGUAUCUUCAGUUUCGGCAGUGGUGUUCUAUGAAAAAGAUUGAUCAAGUAACGGAAAAUGUUUUGUUGGCGUAUUUGGAAGAAAAGUCUACCACCUUAAAGCCACCAACACUCUGGGCCCUUUAUGCGAUGUUGAAAGCCACCUUAAACGUUAAAGAGAAUAUCGAUACACAAGCAAGAAGUCGCAAAUUUUAGACAAAGAAGACAUUAGCAAGUUUAUUAAUGAAGCAGAUGACAAGAUAUAUUUACUGAUGAAGGUAAACUUAUCAUAUUAGUGUAAUACAAAUCAAAACAACUCGUUUUAUUUAUAGACUGUGCUAAUUUUGGGUAUAUCGGGAGCCCUUCGACGUGAAGAAUUAGUUAAAAUGAAGCUAACUGACAUAGAAGAUAAACAGUCUGUCUUAAUUGUGAAGGUGCCUGAUACAAAAACCCACUGCGAACGAAUAUUUACUGUUUCAAAUUUAGAAAAUAUAGAAAUUGUCAGAAAAUAUAGAGCUUUGCGGCCUCCACGGGCGACUAGUGACCGUUUAUUUUUAAAGUAUACCAACGGAAAAUGUGUGAAUCAAAAUGUUGGAAUUAACAAAAUCGGAGAGAUACCAAGUUUGAUUGCAAAGUGGCUUAACAAAGACGAACCUAAAAAAUAUACUGGUCACUGCUUCAGAAGAAGCUCUGCCACUCUUUUGGCGAAUGCUGGAGGUGAUCUAAUUUCAAUUAAACGUCAUGGGGGCUGGAGAAGCAGCACAGUGGCAGAAAGUUACAUCGAGGACUCUUUGAAUAAUAAAAUUGAAAUUGCCAAUAAAAUUCAACCUUCUUCCUCCACAGAAGAAAACAAAAUCACUCAACCUUCUACAUCGGCUUCUUUUAAUGGCGAAAAUAACUUUCAUUUACAAGCGUCUUCACUCAGGCCUCUGGGGAUAAACGGGGGCACGUUUUCGUCAUGCACAUUUAAUUUUCAUAUGUCAAAGUAAAUAUCUAUUAUUAUUGUUUUGUAAUAUUGUUCUGUAUAAUUAUAAAACCUUUAAAACUA